GUGGAAUGAUGAUCUAUAUUCUGAGU
rnacentral:piRNA from 1 species